rnacentral:rRNA from 1 species
UGGGGAAUAUUGCACAAUGGGCGCAAGCCUGAUGCAGCCAUGCCGCGUGUGUGAAGAAGGCCUUCGGGUUGUAAAGCACUUUCAGCGAGGAGGAAGGUGGUGAGCUUAAUACGCUCAUCAAUUGACGUUACUCGCAGAAGAAGCACCGGCUAACUCCGUGCCAGCAGCCGCGGUAAUACGGAGGGUGCAAGCGUUAAUCGGAAUUACUGGGCGUAAAGCGCACGCAGGCGGUUUGUUAAGUCAGAUGUGAAAAUCCCCGGGCUCAACCUGGGAACUGCAUUUGAAACUGGCAAGCUAGAGUCUCGUAGAGGGGGGUAGAAAUUCCAGGUGUAGCGGUGAAAUGCGUAGAGAUCUGGAGGAAUACCGGUGGCGAAGGCGGCCCCCUGGACGAAGACUGACGCUCAGGUGCGAAAAGCGUGGGGAGCAAAACAGGAUUAGAUACCCCUGGUAGUCCACGCUGUAAAACGAUGUCGAUUUUGGAGGUUGUGCCCUUGAGGCGUGGCUUCCGGAGCUAACGCGUU